UACCUAAUUCAGACAAACUCCGAAUGCCAAAGACUUAUCCAUGGGAGUCAGACUGCGAGUGAUAAGAUCCGUAGUCAAGAGGGAAACAGCCCAUACCACCAGCUAAGGUCCCAAAGUAUACGUUAAGUGGAAAAGGAUGUGGAGUUGCUUAGACAACCAGGAUGUUGGCUUAGAAGCAGCCAAGAUGUGUAUAAGAGACCGGGGCUAAACGUAUCACCGAAGCUGUGGAUUGACAUCUUUCGAUGUCAGUGGUAGGAGAGCGUUCUAAGGGCGUUGAAGCGGGAUCGCAAGGACCCGUGGAGCGCUUAGAAGUGAGAAUGCCGGUAUGAGUAGCGAAAGAUGGGUGAGAAUCCCAUCCACCGAAUGCCUAAGGUUUCCUGAGGAAGGCUCGUCCGCUCAGGGUUAGUCGGGACCUAAGCCGAGGCUGAAAAGCGUAGGCGAUGGACAACAGGUUGAUAUUCCUGUACCACCUCUUUACCGUUUGAGCAAUGGGGGGACGCAGGAGGAUAGGGUAAGCGCGCUGCUGGAUUAGCGCGUCCAAGCAGUUAGGCCGGUAACGAGGCAAAUCCCGUUACCACACAGGCUGAGCUGUGACGGCGAGGGAAAUUUAGUACCGAAGUUCCUGAUUCCACACUGCCAAGAAAAGCCUCUAGCGAGGGAAAAGGUGCCCGUACCGCAAACCGACACAGGUAGGCGAGGAGAGAAUCCUAAGGUGUGCGAGAGAACUCUGGUUAAGGAACUCGGCAAAAUGACCCCGUAACUUCGGGAGAAGGGGUGCUUUCUUAACGGAAAGCCGCAGUGAAUAGGCCCAAGCGACUGUUUAGCAAAAACACAGGUCUCUGCGAAGCCGCAAGGCGAAGUAUAGGGGCUGACGCCUGCCCGGUGCUGGAAGGUUAAGAGGAGAGGUUAGCGCAAGCGAAGCUUUGAAUCGAAGCCCCAGUAAACGGCGGCCGUAACUAUAACGGUCCUAAGGUAGCGAAAUUCCUUGUCGGGUAAGUUCCGACCCGCACGAAAGGCGUAACGAUCUGGGCACUGUCUCAACGAGAGACUCGGUGAAAUUAUAGUACCUGUGAAGAUGCAGGUUACCCGCGACAGGACGGAAAGACCCCGUGGAGCUUUACUGUAGCCUGAUAUUGAAUUUUGGUACAGUUUGUACAGGAUAGGCGGGAGCCUUUGAAACCGGAGCGCUAGCUUCGGUGGAGGCGCUGGUGGGAUACCGCCCUGACUGUAUUGAAAUUCUAACCUACGGGUCUUAUCGACCCGGGAGACAGUGUCAGGUGGGCAGUUUGACUGGGGCGGUCGCCUCCUAAAGUGUAACGGAGGCGCCCAAAGGUUCCCUCAGAAUGGUUGGAAAUCAUUCGCAGAGUGUAAAGGCACAAGGGAGCUUGACUGCGAGACCUACAAGUCGAGCAGGGACGAAAGUCGGGCUUAGUGAUCCGGUGGUUCCGCAUGGAAGGGCCAUCGCUCAACGGAUAAAAGCUACCCCGGGGAUAACAGGCUUAUCUCCCCCAAGAGUCCACAUCGACGGGGAGGUUUGGCACCUCGAUGUCGGCUCAUCGCAUCCUGGGGCUGUAGUCGGUCCCAAGGGUUGGGCUGUUCGCCCAUUAAAGCGGUACGCGAGCUGGGUUCAGAACGUCGUGAGACAGUUCGGUCCCUAUCCGUCGUGGGCGCAGGAAAUUUGAGAGGAGCUGUCCUUAGUACGAGAGGACCGGGAUGGACGCACCGCUGGUGUACCAGUUGUCUUGCCAAAGGCAUCGCUGGGUAGCUAUGUGCGGAAGGGAUAAGUGCUGAAAGCAUCUAAGCAUGAAGCCCCCCUCGAGAUGAGAUUUCCCAUAGCGUCAAGCUAGUAAGAUCCCUGAAAGAUGAUCAGGUUGAUAGGUCAGAGGUGGAAGCGUGGCGACAUGUGGAGCUGACUGAUACUAAUCGAUCGAGGACUUAACCAA
rnacentral:rRNA from 1 species